rnacentral:rRNA from 1 species
GACGAACGCUGGCGGCGGGCUUAACACAUGCAAGUCGAACGAAGUGGCGAAGGGGUGAGUAAUACGUGGGUAACCUGACCGCCGUUGUGGGAUAGGCCUUGGAAACGGGGUCUAAUACCGAAUAAAGGGGGAUGGGCGAGCGGCCUAUCAGCUUGUUGGGGGGGUGUGGGCAUACAAAGGCGGUGACGGGUCGCCGGACUGAGAUGGUGAACGGCAACUUGGGGACGGGGAUACGGCCUAGAGUCCUCCGCGAGGCAGCAGUUGGCGCUAUUGCACAAUGGGCGAAAGCGUGAUGCAGCGACGCCGCGUGGGGGAUGAAGGCUUUCGGGUUGUAAACCUGUUGCGCUAGCGAACGGGUAGGUGGAGAAGAAGCGCCGGCUAACUACGUGCCAGCCGCCGCGGUAAUAC